UUGAUCCUGCCGGAGGUCACUGCUAUUGGGAUUCGACUAAGCCAUGCGAGUUGAGAGGGUUCGGCCCUCGGCUAACGGCUCAGUAACACGUGGAUAAUCUGCCCUUAGGUGGAGGAUACCCUCGGGAAACUGAGAAUAAUACUCCAUAGGUCUAGGAUGCUGGAAUGCACUUAGACUAAAAACUCCGGUGCCUAAGGAUGAGUCUGCGGACUAUCAGGUAGUAGUCAGGGUAAAGACCUGACUAGCCUACGACGGAUACGGGUUGUGAGAGCAAUAACCCGGAGAUGAUAUCUGAGACACGAUAUCAGGCCCUACGGGGCGCAGCAGGCGCGAAAACUUCACAAUGCGCGAAAGCGCGAUGAGGGAAUCCCAAGUGCUUGCACGUAAGUGUAAGCUGUUUCUAUGUUUAAAACGCAUAGAGAGUAAGGGCUGGGUAAGACGGGUGCCAGCCGCCGCGGUAAUACCUGCAGCUCGAGUGGUGGCCGCUAUUAUUGGGCCUAAAACGUCCGUAGCCGGUUUAAUAAAUGCCUGGGUAAAUCGUAUAGCUUAACUAUACGAAUUCCGGGUAGACUGAUAAACUUGAGACCGGGGGAAGUUAGAGGUACUCCUGGGGUAGAGGUGAAAUUCUGUAAUCCUAGGGGGACCACCGGUGGCGAAGGCGUCUGACUAAAACGGGUCUGACGGUGAGGGACGAAGCCCUGGGGCGCAAACGGGAUUAGAUACCCCGGUAGUCCAGGGUGUAAACGCUGCUUGCUUGAUGUUAGUCGGGCUUCGAGCCCGAUUAGUGUCGGAGAGAAGUUGUUAAGCAAGCUGCCUGGGAAGUACGGCCGCAAGACUGAAACUUAAAGGAAUUGGCGGGGGAGCACAGCAACGGGUGGAGCGUGCGGUUUAAUUGGAUUCAACGCCGG
rnacentral:rRNA from 1 species